GACGAACGCUGGCGGCGUGCUUAACACAUGCAAGUCGAACGGAAAGGCCCUGCUUUUGUGGGGUGCUCGAGUGGCGAACGGGUGAGUAACACGUGAGUAACAUGCCCUUGACUUUGGGAUAACUUCAGGAAACUGGGGCUAAUACCGGGUAGGAGCUCCUGCUGCAUGGUGGGGGUUGGAAAGUUUCGGCGGUUGGGGAUGGACUCGCGGCUUAUCAGCUUGUUGGUGGGGUAGUGGAGUACCAAGGUUUAGACGGGUAGCCGGCAUGAGAGGGUGACCGGCCACAUUGGGACUGAGAGACGGCGCAGACUCGUAUGGGAGGCAGCGGUGGGGAAUAUUGCACAGUGGGCGGAAGCCUGAUGCAGCAACGCCGCGUGCGGGAUGACGGCCUUCGGGUUGUAAACCGCUUUCGCCUGUGACGAAGCGUGAGUGACGGUAAUGGGUAAAGAAGCACCGGCUAACUACGUG
rnacentral:rRNA from 1 species